GACGAACGCUGGCGGCGUGCCUAAUACAUGCAAGUUGAGCGAUGAAGAUUGGUGCUUGCACCAAUUUGAAGAGCAGCGAACGGGUGAGUAACGCGUGGGGAAUCUGCCUUUGAGCGGGGGACAACAUUUGGAAACGAAUGCUAAUACCGCAUAACAACUUUAAACAUAAGUUUUAAGUUUGAAAGAUGCAAUUGCAUCACUCAAAGAUGAUCCCGCGUUGUAUUAGCUAGUUGGUGAGGUAAAGGCUCACCAAGGCGAUGAUACAUAGCCGACCUGAGAGGGUGAUCGGCCACAUUGGGACUGAGACACGGCCCAAACUCCUACGGGAGGCAGCAGUAGGGAAUCUUCGGCAAUGGACGAAAGUCUGACCGAGCAACGCCGCGUGAGUGAAGAAGGUUUUCGGAUCGUAAAACUCUGUUGGUAGAGAAGAACGUUGGUGAGAGUGGAAAGCUCAUCAAGUGACGGUAACUACCCAGAAAGGGACGGCUAACUACGUGCCAGCAGCCGCGGUAAUACGUAGGUCCCGAGCGUUGUCCGGAUUUAUUGGGCGUAAAGCGAGCGCAGGUGGUUUAUUAAGUCUGGUGUAAAAGGCAGUGGCUCAACCAUUGUAUGCAUUGGAAACUGGUAGACUUGAGUGCAGGAGAGGAGAGUGGAAUUC
rnacentral:rRNA from 1 species